rnacentral:rRNA from 1 species
UACGUAGGGCGCAAGCGUUGUCCGGAAUUAUUGGGCGUAAAGAGCUCGUAGGCGGCUUGUCACGUCGGGUGUGAAAGCCCGGGGCUUAACCCCGGGUCUGCAUUCGAUACGGGCUAGCUAGAGUGUGGUAGGGGAGAUCGAAUUCCUGGUGUAGCGGUGAAAUGCGCAGAUAUCAGGAGGAACACCGGUGGCGAAGGCGGAUCUCUGGGCCAUUACUGACGCUGGAGGAGCGAAAGCGUGGGGAGCGAACAGG